rnacentral:rRNA from 1 species
GACGAACCGUGCGAACGUUGUUCGGAAUCACUGGGCUUAAAGGGCGCGUAGGCGGGCUGCCAAGUCUGGGGUGAAAUCCCACGGCUCAACCGUGGAACUGCCUUAGAUACUGGCGGCCUCGAGGGAGGUAGGGGCAUGCGGAACUAUGCGUGGAGCGGUGAAAUGCGUAGAUAUCUGGAGGAACACCGGUGGCGAAGGCGGCAUCCUGGACCAACACUGACGCUGAGUGAGCGAAAGCCAGGGGAGCAAACGGG